AGCGAACGCUGGCGGCAGGCCUAACACAUGCAAGUCGAACGAAGCCUUCGGGCUUAGUGGCGGACGGGUGAGUAACACGUGGGAACGUACCUUUUGGUUCGGAAUAACGCAGAGAAAUUUGCGCUAAUACCGAGUGAGCCCUUCGGGGGAAAGAUUUAUCGCCGAAAGAUCGGCCCGCGUUGGAUUAGGUAGUUGGUGAGGUAAAGGCUCACCAAGGCUACGAUCUAUAGCUGGUCCGAGAGGAUGAUCAGCCACACUGGGACUGAGACACGGCCCAGACUCCUACGGGAGGCAGCAGUGGGGUAUCUUGCGCAAUGGGCGAAAGCCUGACGCAGCCAUGCCGCGUGAAUGAUGAAGGUCUUAGGAUUGUAAAAUUCUUUUACCAGGGACGAUAAUGACGGUACCUGGAGAAAAAGCCCCGGCUAACUUCGUGCCAGCCGCCGCGGUAACAC
rnacentral:rRNA from 1 species